rnacentral:tRNA from 1 species
GCGAGAGUGGCGGAAUGGCAGACGCACCGGACUUAGAAUCCGGCGGUUUCAUCCGUGGGGGUUCAAGUCCCCCCUCUCGCACCA